rnacentral:rRNA from 1 species
AGGAUGAACGCUGGCGGCGUGCCUAAGACAUGCAAGUCGAGUGGGUUUAGACCCACGGCGAACGGGUGAGUAAUACCUAGGAACGUAUCUUUAGUUGAGGAUAUCCUCCCGAAAGGGAGAGCAAUACUCAAUGUGAUCGCAAGAUUAAAGUCGCAAGACGCUAAAGAAGCGGCCUGGGCACCAUCAGCUAGUUGGUAAGGUAAAAGCUUACCAAGGCUAUGACGGUUAGGGGUCCCGAGAGGGAUAACCCCCACACUGGAACUGCGACACGGUCCAGACUCCUACGGGAGGCAGCAGUUUGGAAUUUUGGACAAUGGGCGAAAGCCUGAUCCAGCGACGCCGCGUGGACGAUGAAGGCCUUCGGGUUGUAAAGUCCUUUUGCUCGGGAACAAUUUUUGAGCGUACCGAGAGAAUAAGAGGUUGCUAACUCUGUGCCAGCAGCCGC